CACCAUAUAGAGUCCAACAAUGUAUCAAUACUCUGGCAUCAGCUCAAGUGUUUGAAAUGAGUGAGGGUUUCGAUCGGGUGUCAGCGACACAAUCCGCAUAGUGCUAUAUGACUAAUCAGAUCGAUCAAUAUGUAAGUUAUCACAACAAUUGAUGCAUAAACAUCUACUUUAGCUGAUCAUGUGCAUACAUACGUGAAGACGUCAACUCAUGCCCCUGGUUGUUGGCCUGAAAGAUCGUCACCUUCCUGCAAUCAUCAAAUAGGAUUAACCGGUGUCCACGAUGGUCGGCUAUGUUUGUAUGUAUGAGUUUUCCGUCCGACGAGUAUCUUUGGCUAGCUAACCUCCAAGGGAAACAACGCAGCAACUUGCUAGAAGCAAGCGUGUUCUGCCGUGUACUAUCAUCUUCUAACAAAAUGAAUCGCUCGGAAGUUGGUAGAGAUUUCCAGUAUGAACUGAAGUUUGAACCUGCUGAAGUGCAAUAAAAGCAUACUGGUAAUGAUAUGGUAGCGGUGAAGAGCAUGUUCGCAAUGAGAUGGGAGAGGCAAAAUUUCUGAUAACCUAAUAUUUGCCUUCUUUAUUAAAAUAGCCACAGGGGUGACUGAAACUCAAAAUUCACUAACAAAUAAAGGUCACAAUUCCAGGAAAUGUACCAGGACUGAAUUCCCAAACGUUUGUCAAAUGUUCGAAAAGUCCACUUUAGUAGUUGUGGUCUGCAGCAGAGCAAUAGAGUCAGAAGUAAAAACAAUGGAACUACUCAAUUUUGGAGAAAAAAGGUAAAAUUAGUACAAACAGAGUACUAUGAGGAGUUGCCAAUUUCAGUGUGAUAAAAACUAAAAGUGAAAGAGGCACCAAAGAUACACUGCAACCUAGAUUAUCCAAGUAAAUAAAUACACUUUCAUCCUAGAUUGACCAUAUAGGAUAUUUAUAUUAGACAAAGUUAAAUAAGCCACUAUGUUUGGUCGAGAAGGCUAGAAGUUCUCACAUUAUUCGGAAAACAAAAAGGCAGGCACGCCCAAAUUCAGUGGCCUUAUCCUUGCACAAUACUGAUCAAGUAAAGCCGUUGGUACAUCCUGUGUCUUAAGGUAGCUCUCCAACUACUCAAUGGCGACCAAAUCGACAUAAUCUAUGGAUCAGCUCAUCAAGUAUAUGCAGAUCAGGAUAUGCAGUACUCCACCGAAAGAUAUGCAAGCAUAAGUAGGUGGCUAAUUGAAGUGUGUGUGUUGCAUGAUUUUCUGCUACCUCAAGUUACAUGUGAACAAUCUGAGAUGAAUAUAAAUACUCAUGUGUACCUCGAUAAGGUUAAUUUAUCCUCCUUUGAAUAUAAACAAGGGCACGGUCUGCAAACAACUCGUGUCUGGGCGUUCCACGACGACUCUGCAAUGGGGCCGCAAAAGCUGGUCUGGUCGAGCGUCCUGCGGUGGCAAGCGGCGACGACCUCGUGACCCGCCGCGACUCCCCUCCCGCUCCUCCUCUCAUGGCCCGUGCCCUUCUUGUGCUCGUCGUCGUCGUCCUGCUCCCGAUUGGAUCGGGAGCCCCGCCUCGUGACCCGUCGCGAUUCCCCUACUGCUCCUCCUCUUACGUCUGCUGGGGACGGGAAGAAGAACACGACGAUGACGGCCCUUUCUGUGCUCGCCGUCGUCGUCCUUCUCCCGAUUGGAUCGGGAGCCCCGCCUCGUGACCCGCCGCGACUCCCCUCCUGCUCCUCCUCUCACGGCUGGUGGGGACGGGAAGAAGAACACGACGAUGGCGGUAAAUCCAUCGGUGCCUGGCCUGGCGGUGGCGGUCGUCGGCGUCACGCCGGAGACUGCAGUGAGCAACCGGAAUGGAUAAAAGGAGACGCGCGGCUGUGAACUGGGGAGAAAGGGGUUUGUGUAAAAAUGAAUCGUUUUUUUUCACUUAAAUUGGUAGUGCGGG
rnacentral:lncRNA from 1 species